rnacentral:lncRNA from 1 species
CGAAAAUCCCUAAGUAAUUUCCCCAGAACCCUUCCCCUUUUUCCCCACUUCAUUUCCCCCAGAUCAGACCCCCCCGAAAUCCCUAUUUUUUCCCCAUUUUAUUUUCCCCAAAUCAUUUCUCCCUUACCUUGAAAUCCCUAACAAUUUUCCCAAUUCCCUUUAUUUUUUCCCCAAAUCAACAGUCCUUUGCAUCGCUGUCGGCAACCCUUUGCUGCAUCUCCGUUGGUAGCACUCUACUGCUUCGCCUGCCUUGUAAGUUUAUUUUUUUUUCAUUUUGUUUGAUUGUUAUUUUUUUUAUUGUUAAAUGAGUAAAACUAUAUUUUGUUUGAUUAGUGCCCAUCUUCGGGUCAGUAACAAUCUGACAACACUUAUUCAACAAUCUGUAUAUGUUUUGAAAAUGACUUUGCUUAUUUCUCUUCUCCAACUAUUGAUUGAUGGAUUAGCAAAUUUUAACAGUAGGGUAAGAAUAAAAGUGGACUAAUUGAAGAUAACAUGUCUGCUUUAUGGGUGUUUUUGUAUCAUAUUAUUUUCCUGCAACAAAUAAAAUCUAUUUGAUCUCACAAAAUGAAAAAAAACUCACAGAGAAAAUUAGUGAAUGUACCGCAUUUUGUCAUCAUUUCAAC